GCUCGUAGUUGGAUUUCGGGUGGGUUCUAGCGGUCCGCCUAUGGUGAGUACUGCUAUGGCCUUCCUUUCUGUCGGGGACGGGCUUCUGGGCUUCACUGUCCGGGACUCGGAGUCGACGUGGUUACUUUGAGUAAAUUAGAGUGUUCAAAGCAGGCUUACGCCAGAAUACUUUAGCAUGGAAUAACACGAUAGGACUCUGGCCUAUCUUGUUGGUCUGUAGGACCGGAGUAAUGAUUAAGAGGGACAGUCGGGGGCAUUCGUAUUUCAUUGUCAGAGGUGAAAUUCUUGGAUUUAUGAAAGACAAACUACU
rnacentral:rRNA from 1 species